AGGGCUUGCAAGGGAUCCCUUGGUAUUCAGAAGCGAUAAAGGACGUGGUUACCUGCGAAAUGCUUUGGGGAGUUGGAAGUAAGCUUUGAUCCGAAGAUUUCCGAAUGAGGAAACUCUAUAACUUUUUAGCGUAAUAUUACGCUAAAAAGAGCAAACUCAGAGAAUUGAAACAUCUUAGUAUCUGAAGGAAAAUAAAGUAAAAACGAUUCCCUUAGUAGUGGCGAACGAAAUGGGAACAGUCUAAACCUAAAUAAUUAUAAGAUUAGGGGUUGUAGGAUAAAUAGUUGUGCUUAUUUUUUUAUAGCAUUCUUAUAAAAAAUUUAGGUUAAUUAGUUGGAAAACUAAACUAUAAAAAGUGAAAGUCUUGUAACCGAAAAUUGAUUAAAUAAUUUAAUGCUAUUUAAUCCUAAGUAGCAUGGGACACGUGGAAUCCCGUGUGAAUCUGUGAGGACCACCUCAUAAGACUAAAUAUUCCUGGAUAUCCGAUAGUGAACUAGUACCGUGAGGGAAAGGUGAAAAGAACCCCGGAAGGGGAGUGAAAUAGAUUGUGAAAUUGCAAGCUUACAAACAGAAGUCAAAUGACUUAGCGUUUAACUUCGUGCCUGUUGAAGAAUGUUCCGGCGACUUAUAAUUAGUGGCUAGGUUAAAAUAUAAAAUAUUGGAGCCAGAGUGAAAGCGAGCUUGAAUAGAGCAUACAAUUAUGUCACUAAUUAUAGACCCGAACCCACUUGAUCUAACCAUGGCCAGGAUGAAGCUUAGGUAUAACUUGGUGGAGGUCCGAACCGACUAAUGUUGAAAAAUUAGCGGAUGAGCUGUGGUUAGGGGUGAAAUGCCAAUCGAAAGUGGAGCUAGCUGGUUCUCCCCGAAAUGUAUUUAGGUGCAGCGGUUAAUAUUUUAACGUAGGGGUAAAGCACUGUUUCGACGCGGGGCGGUAACACGUUACCAAAUCUAGGCAAACUCUGAAUACUACGUGUAUAAUUAACCAGUAAGACUACGAGGGAUAAGCUUCAUAGUCAAAAGGGAAACAGCCCAGAUCACCAGCUAAGGCCCCUAAAUAUUUACUAAGUGAUAAAGGUGGUGAAAAGGCUAUGACAACCAGGAGGUUUGCUUAGAAGCAGCAACCCUUUAAAAAGUGCGUAAUAGCUUACUGGUCAAGCAAUUUUGCGCCGAAAAUUAAUGGGACUAAGUAAUUUGCCGAAGCUGUGAGAUAUCUUUUACUUCUUUAUUUAAAUAAAGAAGUAAAAGAUAUCGGUAGGGGAGCGUUCCAUUAUAGAAUGAAGUAUUAGCGAAAGCGAAUAUAGACCAAAUGGAAGUGAGAAUGUCGGAUUGAGUAGCGAAAACAUUAGUGAGAAUCUAAUGCUCCGAAAUCCUAAGGUUUCCUCCGGAAGGUUCGACCGCGGAGGGUUAGUCAGGGCCUAAGGUGAGGCUGAAAAGCGUAAUCGAUGGAUAGCAGGUUAAUAUUCCUGCACAUCUCAUUAUAAAUAAUAAGGGACGGAGUCUCUAAGUAUUAAUUAAGGGUUGGAGCAAUCUUUUUUCAUUAUAAUUUUUAUUAAAUAUAAAAUUAAUUAUUGUAAACUUAAUUUAAUGCGUAUGUAAUUUAAAAUAAAUAUUAAUACUAAAUAAAAUAUGGUUAAAUAUCGAACUCAAUUCACGCUGUUUUUGAGUUUUAUAUUAAAAGAGUAAAAACAGCAAUAUAAUUAAAAGACUAUUUAAAAAAAAGUAUGGAGAUUACUACUUUUAAAAAAUUAAAAAUAAAAAAACAUAAAUAUUAUUUAUUUUAAGUUACAUGCGCAUAAUUGAAUAUACGAUUAUUUUGUUUUAAAAUAAAAUAUUGGUAUACUUCUUUAAAAUGAAUAGACUUCCAAGAAAAGCUUAAAGUUUUGUAUAUGAUAAAUAUCUAUACUAAAUUAAUGAGAUCCUGUACCUUAAACCGACACAGGUGGGAAAGUAGAGAAUACUAAGGAGCGCGAGAGAACCCUCCUUAAGGAACUCGGCAAAAUAACUCUGUAACUUCGGAAGAAAGAGUGCCCAUAGGGCUGCAAUAUCAAGUUCCAAGCAACUGUUUAGCAAAAACACAGGUCUCCGCUAAGUUGUAAGACGACGUAUGGGGGCUGACGCCUGCCCAGUGCCGUAAGGUGAAGGAAAUCUGUUAACUCUAAAGGUGAAGCUCAUAACCGAAGCCCCGGUGAACGGCGGCCGUAACUAUAACGGUCCUAAGGUAGCGAAAUUCCUUGUCGGGUAAGUUCCGACCUGCACGAAUGGCGUAAUGAUUUGGAAGCUGUCUCAAGGAGGGACUCGGCGAAAUAGAAUUGUCUGUGAAGAUGCGGACUACCUGUGCCAGGACAUUAAGACCCUAUGAAGCUUUACUGUAUCCUGAUAUUGAUUUUUGAUUUUUUUUACGCAGAAUAGGUGGGAGACGUUGAUGUUUUCUUUGUGGGGAAAAAGGAGUUGAUCGUGAGAUACCACUUUUAAAAAAUUGAAAUUCUAAUUUUAUAUUGUUAGCCAAUUGAAAAACAGUAUCAGGUGGGCAGUUUGACUGGGGCGGUCGCCUCCUAAAAGGUAACGGAGGCGCACAAAGGUUUUCUCAAAUCGUUUAUAAGUCGAUUUUAGAGUGCAAAGACAAAAGAAAGCUUAACUGUGAGACUGACAAGUCAAACAGAGACGAAAGUCGGUCUUAGUGAUCUGACGCUACUGUGUGGAAAGGGCGUCACUCAACGGAUAAAAGUUACUCUAGGGAUAACAGGCUGAUCUCCCCCAAGAGUUCCUAUCGACGGGGAGGUUUGGCACCUCGAUGUCGGCUCAUCGCAUCCUGGGGCGGUAAUACGUCCCAAGGGUUGGGCUGUUCGCCCAUUAAAGCGGUACGCGAGCUGGGUUCAGAACGUCGUGAGACAGUUCGGUCCAUAUCCGGCAUGGGCGUUAGAGUAUUGAGAGUGGCCUUUCUUUAGUACGAGAGGACCGAGAAAGACAUACCGCUGGUGUACCAGUUAUUAUGCCAAUAGUAAACGCUGGGUAGCUACGUAUGGUUAGGAUAACCACUGAAGGCAUCUAAGUGGGAAGCCGUCCUCAAGAUGAGUACUCUUAGGUUAUGGCAAGACUAGCCGUUUGAUAGGCACUCAGUGUAAUUAGGGUAACCUAUUUAGCUAAGGUGUACUAAAAUCCGUUUUUAUUAUU
rnacentral:rRNA from 1 species